rnacentral:tRNA from 1 species
UAGGAAGUAGUGUUUUUGGGAGCACUAAGAGUUUUGAUCUCUUGAGUAGAGGUUCGAGUCCUCUCUUUCUAA